rnacentral:rRNA from 1 species
UACGUAGGGGGCAAGCGUUAUCCGGAUUUACUGGGUGUAAAGGGAGCGUAGACGGAUUAGCAAGUCUGAUGUGAAAGGCAGGGGCUCAACCCCUGGACUGCAUUGGAAACUGCCAGUCUUGAGUGCCGGAGAGGUAAGCGGAAUUCCUAGUGUAGCGGUGAAAUGCGUAGAUAUUAGGAGGAACACCAGUGGCGAAGGCGGCUUGCUGGACGGUAACUGACGUUGAGGCUCGAAAGCGUGGGGAGCAAACAGG